AGAAACCCAAAUAUACUUGGUGUAGGUAGUCUAACUGAAGAGAGUAUUUCUCACACGUUUUUGUUGUUAAAUUUUUUAAAGCCACAAUUAGAUAUAUUUAUUUAAGGAUUUGAAAAAUUAUGUAAGAUUCCUCAUACUUGUGUAUAUAAAAAGGAACAUGUGGUAUGAUUACCAAUGAGACAACUCUCCAUAAAAGACCAAAAUGACACAGACAUUAACAACUAUAGGUCGCUGUACGGCCUUAACAAUACAUAAUAUAAGCUUAUUAUUACACUUGCAUAUAUGAAAAACUCGUCACAAA
rnacentral:lncRNA from 1 species